GGUGAACGCUGGCGGCGUGCCUAACACAUGCAAGUCGAGCGGUGCAGUUUGAAGCUUCGGUGGAAAGCUGCAUAGCGGCGGACGGGUGAGGAAAACGUAGGAACGUGCCCCUUGGAGUUGGAUAGCCACGGGAAACUGUGGGUAAACCGACAUAGACUCGAGAGAGUAAAGGCCGAAAGGUGCCAAGGGAGCGGCCUGCGGCCCACUCAGGUAGUUGGUAGUGUAAAGGACUACCAAGCCGACGACGGGUAGCCGGUCUGAGAGGAUGGCCGGCCACAAGGGCACUGAGAGACGGGCCCUACUCCUACGGGAGGCAGCAGUGGGGGAUUUUGGACAAUGGGCGAAAGCCUGAUCCAGCGACGCCGCGUGGAGGACGAAGCCCUUCGGGGUGUAAACUCCUUUUCUCAGGGAAAAGGAUGAUGGGUACCUGAGGAAUAAGCCCCGGCUAACUACGUG
rnacentral:rRNA from 1 species